rnacentral:rRNA from 1 species
CCUACGGGUGGCAGCAGUGGGGAAUAUUGGACAAUGGGCGAAAGCCUGAUCCAGCCAUGCCGCGUGUGUGAAGAAGGCCUUCGGGUUGUAAAGCACUUUCAGUGGGGAAGAAAGCCUUGGGGCUAAUACCCUCGAGGAAGGACAUCACCCACAGAAGAAGCACCGGCUAACUCCGUGCCAGCAGCCGCGGUAAUACGGAGGGUGCGAGCGUUAAUCGGAAUUACUGGGCGUAAAGCGCGCGUAGGCGGUCUGAUAAGCCGGUUGUGAAAGCCCCGGGCUCAACCUGGGAACGGCAUCCGGAACUGUCAGGCUAGAGGGCAGGAGAGGAAGGUAGAAUUCCCGGGGUAGCGGUGAAAUGCGUAGAGAUCGGGAGGAAUACCAGUGGCGAAGGCGGCCUUCUGGACUGGCACUGACGCUGAGGUGCGAAAGCGUGGGUAGCAAACAGGAUUAGAUACCCUAGUAGUC